rnacentral:lncRNA from 1 species
UGAAUUCACUAGCCGAGAUUUAUUCUUUUUCGCUCCGGUUUGGCUGCCUCCCGUAUUUGCUCCGCAGCACCUUUAAAAGGGGAUCUGGGCGUAGAGCUCCCAGCGCAUGGGGGGGGGAGAGAAGGGGGUCCCAUGCCCACGGAAACCAGAGCGAUUUCCUCUCGAGUAAAUACACCGGCGUAGGGUCCGUCUGGGCUAGCUGCCAAGCCAGGAAGCCAGAACGCCCCCGGGGCGAGAAACCAACGCGCUGGAAGGGAGUCAGACCCAAGGGGCGAAACCUGAUCCGGAGCAAAACAGAAACACACCCCAGCACGCGCAUUUACACGCACAAUGGGAGUGGACGGGAGAGGAGAGAAAGAAAACAACUUUCCACCGGUUUAAAAAAAGCGGCAGCAGCAACACUCCCAAGAACAGACGAGCCGCGCAGCAGCCCCGCCACCGUAACACAAAUCAGCUUCUCCCCCCCCAACCCUAUCAAGGGAGCAGCUGGAAGGGAAGGGGGGGAAGGCGCUCUGCUGGCAUUCCGCCUUGCCUCCCCCCCCCCGGGCUCGAGGGCUCCGAUCCAGCGCACGUUCACUCCUCCUGCCAUCCCAGCUCCGGCUUACUCCCAGGAAAGCCUGCCACCGGAUCGAGGCCGCGUUCUGCCGGAAAGGGAGCAGGUGCUGCCUUUCUUUCCUCCCACCCCGCAAGAAACCGACCCAGCCCAACCCGGGGCAGGCUUUCUACAGGCAGGGAGGAACAAACCCACCCGUUCACACGCGCAGCUCUGCCCGCAGCCGCCUCCAGAGGGAAAGACGCUGCCUCCCCCCUCCCUCCUCAUCGGCUUUGGCCAAGCCGGAUCCAGUGGAUCCCGGGGACCGAGGAACGGGGGGGGAGAUUGGGAGGGGGAGCCUUCGGCGAAAGAGAUGCAACAAGAAAAACGCCAUUCGGGCCCGUUUUGCAAAGGGAAACCUUUCCCCCUCCCCCCCCCCCCCCCAGGAAUCGCACCGCAAGACCAUCGCUUUCCAACCAGCGCUCCAUUGCUGCCUUUACGGGGGAAAAGAAACCAAGGAAGGAGGGAGGGAAGGAGGGAUCGAAAAUGCAAGCGACGGGGGCGGCCGAGGGUCAAAGAUCCGUGUCUGGGUGUUGCGUGUGAGCGCGCCCCGCGCGCCCCCGGCGCACAGGUCGCUGCACACAAAAGUCGAAAUGCUAUUGUUUGACCUGGGGGGGGCUUCUCAGGACUGGGGUGGGCGUGCGCAAAGCAAAGCCGCUGAUCUUAACCCCCCUCCAGUUUUGGGGGGGCGUUGCAACUAGAGCAAAGGAGGAUUCAGCUG